rnacentral:rRNA from 1 species
AGAAGCAAACCCGGAGAACUGAAACAUCUAAGUACCCGGAGGAAAAGAAAUCAACCGAGAUUCCCUUAGUAGCGGCGAGCGAACGGGGAUUAGCCGAUGAUUAUUGAAUUAGUGGAACGCUCUGGGAAGUGCGGCCAUAGUGGGUGAUAGCCCCGUACACGAAGAUUCAAUAGUCACAUAUUAAGUAGGACGGGACACGUGUUAUCUUGUCUGAAGAUGGGGGGACCAUCCUCCAAGGCUAAAUACUCCUGACUGACCGAUAGUGAACCAGUACCGUGAGGGAAAGGCGAAAAGAACCCCUGUGAGGGGAGUGAAAUAGAUCCUGAAACCGUAUGCGUACAAGCAGUGGGAGCAGACUUGUUCUGUGACUGCGUACCUUUUGUAUAAUGGGUCAGCGACUUAAUUUUAGUAGCAAGGUUAACCGUAUAGGGGAGCCGUAGGGAAACCGAGUCUUAAUAGGGCGUUUAGUUGCUGGGAUUAGACCCGAAACCGAGUGAUCUAGCCAUGAGCAGGUUGAAGAUCAGGUAACACUGAUUGGAGGACCGAACCCACUUAUGUUGAAAAAUGAGGGGAUGACUUGUGGCUAGGAGUGAAAGGCUAAUCAAACUCGGAGAUAGCUGGUUCUCCUCGAAAGCUAUUUAGGUAGCGCCUCGUGUAUCACCCUGGGGGGUAGAGCACUGUUUGGGCUAGGGGGUCAUC